rnacentral:lncRNA from 1 species
CCAAUUUACAAGGUAAGUUAACUUGUAUACCAUAUAACAUGAAACAAAAUUGAUAAUCAAAUGAAAAAGCAUAUGCCUUUUAUUACGAUACUCUAUCUUGUAUUGAGAAAAAUCCACCUGUUUAAGGAAGACUAAUUCUAGAAUGUAUUAUCAAAAUAUUAAUAUGGUUUUGGAGACUGUAUUUAUUUUUAUUUUUGUUGAAAGUUUGCAUUCGUGUGUCAAUAUCAAUGUUAUUUAAUAAAACUUUUAAAGAACGUUGUGUUUAUUCGGUUCACAACAACCAAUAUGAAAAUGUGGUAUGAGACAACUAUCCACCAUAGUUAAAAUAGAGUAGAUUUUAACAAUUAUUGGCAACCGUGCCAUAUAAUCGGUUUUAAUUUGCCCCCACAUUCUAUAUAUGAAAUAAUUCAAUUGAGAAUAUUAACGGAAAAAUUUAGAACAAAACAAUAUACAAAAAAAGAGAGAUAUGACAGAAUAAAUCUGAUAUAAUAAAAUAAAAAUAAAAGUCACUUUGUGUUGAAAUAAGAGUCGCCAGAACACGUAAAGCUUGACGUUUACAAACUAUGUAAAUCACUAGUUAAUUCAAUGUUUUAAAACGCACAUAAUACAAUUGUAACAAUAGGUAAAGCAGCCAGUAUUGUUAUGUAUUCAAAAAGAUAAUUUCAAGGUAUUUUACUGUUUUGUUAUUGCAAUAGUACUAGUUUAUACUAAUAUCAACCUUGUUUGGUUUUUUUUGUUUUUUUAUUAAAACAGCAACUACGAAUAGUGAUUACUGUUAUUAUGGAGUUUAAUGUCCACGAAGUGCAUUAUAACGUGAAAGGUGAAAACCAUAAAGAGAUGGCAAAGUUUGUGAAAGAAAUGAAACUAAUGGGUACGUUAUAUUGAUUUUUACUGUUGGGUUUGUUUUUCAUUGCGUAUAUAUAUAGGGAAGAACCAAAAAUUUGCGAAAGCAAAUUUACAGAUCUAACAUUGUUGGGUUGAUGUUUAGACGAGUUGUAUAUAUAUAUAUAUAUAUAUAAUCCCCAAAAAAUUGUGGUAUGAUUGCCAAUGAGACAACUCUCCCCAAAAUACCAAAUGACACAGAAAUUAACAUUUGUAUGUUAAUUCUAGAUCAAAACAAAAUUUAAAACACAUUGAUAAGAUUUAUAAAAAAAAAAUAAAACAACAAAUUAUAAAUUUAAUGCGUCUGAAGCGCUGUUCUUAAUUUAGCUUCAUCAGGAAUACUUAAAGCCGACCUUUUGAAAGCUAGAGGUGUAUAAAACCGAAAUAGUUGAACAGCUAUUUAAUCAAAAAUCACAUAAAAUUAUUACCAAAUCCUUGUAAGGCUAACUUUGGCUGAGGAAGUUGAAAACUUUGUUUACUUAAAGGGGUUAGUCAUCGUUAAAUAGUUCCGUAUCUUCAAGUUUUAUGUACAUGUAGUAUAAAUCGUCAAAUAAUUAGUGUGUCAAAUAUCAAUAUAUGUUUCUGACUUUUGUCAAAUAUAUUACUGAAAUAUCGAUUAUUGUUUAGAGGGUAAAACAGCAGAAACUGAUCAAAUAGUUAUAUGCCUAGAUCUUGUCAUCUAUACUUUGAAAAUUGCUCAAUUUGCAGACGCCAAAUAAUGUCUUUUAUCAUAUCUCUUUUGCCGAAAUGAAAAGUUUCGACCCUGAAUAUCAAAUAAAAUAUUUUUGUUCAUUUUAGGUGGUCACAGUGGCCAACAACCAAAGGCAAUCGAAGGGAGCAGGCAUAAAAAAGAUAAAGAAGAUGGCAAACACCGUAAAAACAAAAAGCAUUAACUGAUGAUAUGACAUGAUUAUUAAACGUGACCUACACGUUUCAUAAAUAA